GGCGUGCGAUACAGGGUGACAGCCCCGUACACAAAAAUGCACAUAUUGUGAGCUUGAUGAGUAGGGCGGGACACGUGGUAUCCUGUCUGAAUAUGGGGGGACCAUCCUCCAAGGCUAAAUACUCCUGACUGACCGAUAGUGAACCAGUACCGUGAGGGAAAGGCGAAAAGAACCCCGGCGAGGGGAGUGAAAAAGAACCUGAAACCGUGUACGUACAAGCAGUGGGAGCACGCUUAGGCGUGUGACUGCGUACCUUUUGUAUAAUGGGUCAGCGACUUAUAUUCUGUAGCAAGGUUAACCGAAUAGGGGAGCCGAAGGGAAACCGAGUCUUAACUGGGCGUUAAGUUGCAGGGUAUAGACCCGAAACCCGGUGAUCUAGCCAUGGGCAGGUUGAAGGUUGGGUAACACUAACUGGAGGACCGAACCGACUAAUGUUGAAAAAUUAGCGGAUGACUUGUGGCUGGGGGUGAAAGGCCAAUCAAACCGGGAGAUAGCUGGUUCUCCCCGAAAGCUAUUUAGGUAGCGCCUCGUGAAUUCAUCUCCGGGGGUAGAGCACUGUUUCGGCAAGGGGGUCAUCCCGACUUACCAACCCGAUGCAAACUGCGAAUACCGGAGAAUGUUAUCACGGGAGACACACGGCGGGUGCUAACGUCCGUCGUGAAGAGGGAAACAACCCAGACCGCCAGCUAAGGUCCCAAAGUCAUGGUUAAGUGGGAAACGAUGUGGGAAGGCCCAGACAGCCAGGAUGUUGGCUUAGAAGCAGCCAUCAUUUAAAGAAAGCGUAAUAGCUCACUGGUCGAGUCGGCCUGCGCGGAAGAUGUAACGGGGCUAAACCAUGCACCGAAGCUGCGGCAGCGACGCUUAUGCGUUGUUGGGUAGGGGAGCGUUCUGUAAGCCUGCGAAGGUGUGCUGUGAGGCAUGCUGGAGGUAUCAGAAGUGCGAAUGCUGACAUAAGUAACGAUAAAGCGGGUGAAAAGCCCGCUCGCCGGAAGACCAAGGGUUCCUGUCCAACGUUAAUCGGGGCAGGGUGAGUCGACCCCUAAGGCGAGGCCGAAAGGCGUAGUCGAUGGGAAACAGGUUAAUAUUCCUGUACUUGGUGUUACUGCGAAGGGGGGACGGAGAAGGCUAUGUUGGCCGGGCGACGGUUGUCCCGGUUUAAGCGUGUAGGCUGGUUUUCCAGGCAAAUCCGGAAAAUCAAGGCUGAGGCGUGAUGACGAGGCACUACGGUGCUGAAGCAACAAAUGCCCUGCUUCCAGGAAAAGCCUCUAAGCAUCAGGUAACAUCAAAUCGUACCCCAAACCGACACAGGUGGUCAGGUAGAGAAUACCAAGGCGCUUGAGAGAACUCGGGUGAAGGAACUAGGCAAAAUGGUGCCGUAACUUCGGGAGAAGGCACGCUGAUAUGUAGGUGAAGUCCCUUGCGGAUGGAGCUGAAAUCAGUCGAAGAUACCAGCUGGCUGCAACUGUUUAUUAAAAACACAGCACUGUGCAAACACGAAAGUGGACGUAUACGGUGUGACGCCUGCCCGGUGCCGGAAGGUUAAUUGAUGGGGUCAGCGCAAGCGAAGCUCUUGAUCGAAGCCCCGGUAAACGGCGGCCGUAACUAUAACGGUCCUAAGGUAGCGAAAUUCCUUGUCGGGUAAGUUCCGACCUGCACGAAUGGCGUAAUGAUGGCCAGGCUGUCUCCACCCGAGACUCAGUGAAAUUGAACUCGCUGUGAAGAUGCAGUGUACCCGCGGCAAGACGGAAAGACCCCGUGAACCUUUACUAUAGCUUGACACUGAACAUUGAGCCUUGAUGUGUAGGAUAGGUGGGAGGCUUUGAAGUGUGGACGCCAGUCUGCAUGGAGCCGGCCUUGAAAUACCACCCUUUAAUGUUUGAUGUUCUAACGUGGACCCGUGAUCCGGGUUGCGGACAGUGUCUGGUGGGUAGUUUGACUGGGGCGGUCUCCUCCUAAAGAGUAACGGAGGAGCACGAAGGUUGGCUAAUCCUGGUCGGACAUCAGGAGGUUAGUGCAAUGGCAUAAGCCAGCUUGACUGCGAGCGUGACGGCGCGAGCAGGUGCGAAAGCAGGUCAUAGUGAUCCGGUGGUUCUGAAUGGAAGGGCCAUCGCUCAACGGAUAAAAGGUACUCCGGGGAUAACAGGCUGAUACCGCCCAAGAGUUCAUAUCGACGGCGGUGUUUGGCACCUCGAUGUCGGCUCAUCACAUCCUGGGGCUGAAGUAGGUCCCAAGGGUAUGGCUGUUCGCCAUUUAAAGUGGUACGCGAGCUGGGUUUAGAACGUCGUGAGACAGUUCGGUCCCUAUCUGCCGUGGGCGCUGGAGAACUGAGGGGGGCUGCUCCUAGUACGAGAGGACCGGAGUGGACGCAUCACUGGUGUUCGGGUUGUCAUGCCAAUGGCACUGCCCGGUAGCUAAAUGCGGAAGAGAUAAGUGCUGAAAGCAUCUAAGCACGAAACUUGCCCCGAGAUGAGUUCUCCCUGACCCUUUAAGGGUCCUGAAGGAACGUUGAAGACGACGACGUUGAUAGGCCGGGUGUGUAAGCGCAGCGAUGCGUUGAGCUAACCGGUACUAAUGAACCGUGAGGCUUAACCUUACAACGCCGAAG
rnacentral:rRNA from 1 species